UGUGAUAGGAAUUUUAUGGUUUUAGAUAUAUGGCAACGUUCAUAACCACACGUACAUAGAUCAGCACAGGAAAGCCAACCUGGAACCAUUUUGAUUCCUAAACUGAGCAAAUGUUUCUCUGCAUGGUAAAAAUGGAAAAGCCUCCCCAUUGUCUCUUUCCUCACAAAUCCUGUCUCAAGGAUAUGUCUGUUUGAAUAAGGUGUGAGCCUGUGACCUGGCCCAGGAAAUAAGUAUUUUACCACUACAAAAGAAUGGCCAGGCUCCCCAGGCAAUCCAAUCAAGUAACUUGCCAGACAGGAGAUAAACUGUGAAAAACAACAUUUAAAUUUCUGUGAUGUAGGUGGGAUGUAUCCGAGGGGUGGUCUUAGGUUACACCCCUUCUGUGAUGUAUGCAUAAUGUUUCUGGGGGUGGUCUUGAUCUAGAGGAUGGGAAUUUCAGAAGUCUUUAUAAGCCAUUGCACAGCAUUUUUGGGGGUCCUCUUCCUCUCCUGCGUGUGAGGGGAGCACCCUGUUGCAACAGAUCAAUAAAGAUCAAGCUUACUAGCUGCUUUGCUUCUC